UUCCGUUGCGGAGCUACCAUGCAGUCGAGCGGUAACAGAGAGUAGCUUGCUACUCUGCUGACGAGCGGCGGACGGGUGAGUAAUGCUUGGGAAUGUACCUUAUGGUGGGGGACAACAGUUGGAAACGACUGCUAAUACCGCAUAAUGUCUUCGGACCAAAGCGGGGGACCUUCGGGCCUCGCGCCAUAAGAUCAGCCCAAGUGGGAUUAGCUAGUUGGUGAGGUAAUGGCUCACCAAGGCGACGAUCCCUAGCUGGUUUGAGAGGAUGAUCAGCCACACUGGGACUGAGACACGGCCCAGACUCCUACGGGAGGCAGCAGUGGGGAAUAUUGCACAAUGGGCGCAAGCCUGAUGCAGCCAUGCCGCGUGUGUGAAGAAGGCCUUCGGGUUGUAAAGCACUUUCAGUAAGGAGGAAAGGUUGGAUGUUAAUAGCAUUCAGCUGUGACGUUACUUACAGAAGAAGCACCGGCUAACUCCGUGCCAGCAGCCGCGGUAAUACGGAGGGUGCGAGCGUUAAUCGGAAUUACUGGGCGUAAAGCGUACGCAGGCGGUUUGUUAAUCGAGAUGUGAAAGCCCCGGGCUCAACCUGGGAACUGCAUUUCAAACUGGCAAACUAGAGUGUGAUAGAGGGUGGUAGAAUUUCAGGUGUAGCGGUGAAAUGCGUAGAGAUCUGCAGGAAUACCGAUGGCGAACGCAGCCACCUGGGGCCACCCUGGCGCUCAUGUACGAAAACGUGAGGGAGCCAACAUGAUCAGAUACCCUGGUACUCA
rnacentral:rRNA from 1 species